rnacentral:rRNA from 1 species
GACGAACGCUGGCGGCGUGCUUAACACAUGCAAGUCGAACGGAAAGGCCCUGCUUGCCGGGUACUCGAGUGGCGAACGGGUGAGUAACACGUGGGUGAUCUGCCCUGCACUUCGGGAUAAGCCUGGGAAACUGGGUCUAAUACCGGAUAGGAGCCAUUUUUAGUGUGAUGGUUGGAAAGUUUUUUCGGUGUAGGAUGAGCUCGCGGCCUAUCAGCUUGUUGGUGGGGUAAUGGCCUACCAAGGCGGCGACGGGUAGCCGGCCUGAGAGGGUGGACGGCCACAUUGGGACUGAGAUACGGCCCAGACUCCUACGGGAGGCAGCAGUGGGGAAUAUUGCACAAUGGGCGCGAGCCUGAUGCAGCGACGCCGCGUGGGGGAUGACGGCCUUCGGGUUGUAAACUCCUUUCGCUAGGGACGAAGCUUUUUGUGACGGUACCUAGAUAAGAAGCACCGGCUAACUACGUG